UACAUGGGGUGCAAACGUUGCUCGGAAUCAUUGGGCGUAAAGCGCACGUCGGCGGUUACUUAAGUCGGAUGUGAAAGCCCUCGGCUCAACUGAGGAAGUGCACCCGAAACUGCAUGGCUCGAGUCUCGGAGAGGAAGGUGGAAUGCUUGGUGUAGAGGUGAAAUUCGUAGAUAUCAAGCAGAACACCUGCGGCGAAGGCGGCCUUCUGGACGAUGACUGACGCUGAGACGCGAAAGCGUGGGGAGCAAACAGG
rnacentral:rRNA from 1 species